UACGUAGGGUGCAAGCGUUAAUCGGAAUUACUGGGCGUAAAGCGUGCGCAGGCGGUUUUGUAAGUCUGAUGUGAAAUCCCCGGGCUCAACCUGGGAAUUGCAUUGGAGACUGCAAGGCUAGAAUCUGGCAGAGGGGGGGUAGAAUUCCACGUGUAGCAGUGAAAUGCGUAGAGAUGUGGAGGAACACCGAUGGCGAAGGCAGCCCCCUGGGUCAAGAUUGACGCUCAUGCACGAAAGCGUGGGGAGCAAACGAGG
rnacentral:rRNA from 1 species